UCACAAAGUAUUACGCUCGUGAAAAAGUUCUCUAGGGGGCGGUGACAGAAGCCGCGGAAUAGUAGUGUGUUAUUUAAACUGCGUCAGAAAUGUUUGCUAGAAGAAAGCUCCGUACAGAGUGUCAUCGAUGGACAGACGGCCCUGGAAGUCUCCAGGAUCUAUGGAUGUCUCACCACUGGAAGUUUUUUUCUCAAGAGACAGGAAGAUUUUUUAUGAAAUGUAGACUGGAAACUCUCAGAUGAAAUCCAUCUCCUAAUUAUAGGAGAAAUGAAGCAGUAGGAGUCAUGCCAGCUGCAGCAGUUAGACUGAAGAGGCACCCUGCUGCGUAUCCCGGGAAUCCCCUGAAGGCGGCAGCCCUGGGAGGACAUGUGCAUGGCAGAAGAGUGUGUACUUUUAACACAGUCAUCCCCCCCACGUGCCGGACGGCAUGGGAGAGAAAACAGCCCUCUUUCAUCCAGAUCAGACGACAUCUGCCAACCAGCCACUGGCCCCCUCAACCACAAGCCAUGCUUGUUUGCAGUGCGCACCCUUGACCCGCAGCCUCCUCACCAACACAGAGCGCCUUCGACAUUACAUCAGAAGAAAAACAACAAUAAAUCAUCAUUUAAAAGUA